UAAUCAUAGUUUCAAUUUGGGACAAAAAAA
rnacentral:piRNA from 1 species